UCUUCCCUCAUUAAUAGAUUAAGGCAAUUAUUGUGGAAGUGUGUUUGUUAUUGCAGGAGCAGUUUCCUUACAAAAGGAUGAGUUCAGCCCCCUUUUGCCUCUCUCUCACUCUGUCUUUGACCUUCUUUCAUGAAGCAAGAAGGCCCUUGCCAGAUGCCAGCACUUUGGUAUUGAACUUCUUAUCCUCCAGAGCGGUUUGUUUCUUUUCUCCGUCAUACCUCAAGAGGAACACAAAGAGUGACAGCCUGUCACUCUGAUGCUUCUCUCUAUUCAAAUGGCAGAAACCAACCAGGUACAUACCAGCCUUCUUGCAGGUAGGAACACUACACAGCACUUCAGCAGUAUGUUUGGGAGCCAUUUUAAACAGCAAAAUAAUCAACAAGAAGCAGAAAAAUGUAAAAAAUAUGGUACUAAAUAGACCAUGUAAAGGACACAUGUUUACAAUAAGAAAGCUGAAACAAGAAGUGGGAGUGUCAUCUUAUUCGAUCCAGCUAGAAAUUCAAGUGCUGGUAUUCCAGCAACACUCAGGCAGCUGCUCCAGGAGGCUGCAGAGGGGUCCUUCUCAGCAGCCAGCAAAACUGGCUGUGGUCAC